AGAGUUUGAUCCUGGCUCAGAAUGUACGCUGGCGGCACGCCUAACACAUGCAAGUCGAGCGAGGUACUUGUACCUAGCGGCAGACGGGUGCGUAACAUGUGGGAAUCUGCCUUUUGGUUCGGAACAACAUGGGGAAACCUGUGCUAAUACCGGAUAAGUCCUUACGGAGAAAGAUUUAUCGCCGAAAGAUGAGCCCGCACUAGAUAGCUUGUUGGUAAGGUAAAAGCUUACCAAGGCUACGAUCUAUAGCUGAUUUGAGAGGAUGAUCAGCCACACUGGGACUGAGACACGGCCCAGACUCCUACGGGAGGCAGCAGUGGGGAAUCUUGCACAAUGGAGGAAACUCUGAUGCAGCGAUGCCGCGUGAGUGAAGAAGGCCCUUGGGUUGUAAAGCUCUUUUGUCGGGAAAGAUAAUGACUGUACCCGAAGAAUAAGGUCCGGCUAACUUCGUGCCAGCAGCCGCGGUAAUACGAAGGGACCUAGCGUAAUUCGGAAUUACUGGGCGUAAAGCGCGCGUAGGCGGUUAAGUAAGUUAAUUGUGAAAGCCCAAAGCUCAACUUUGGAAUUGCAAUUAAAACUAUUUAGCUAGAGUUUAUCAGAGGAAAGCGGAAUACAUAGUGUAGAGGUGAAAUUCGUAGAUAUUAUGUAGAACACCAGUUGCGAAGGCGGCUUUCUGGGAUAACACUGACGCUGAGGUGCGAAAGUAUGGGUAGCGAAGAGGAUUAGAUACCCUCGUAGUCCAUACCGUAAACGAUGAUUGUUAGAUGUUGGAAAUUUAUUUUCAGUAUCACAGCUAACGCGUUAAACAAUCCGCCUGGGGAGUACGACCGCAAGGUUAAAACUUAAAGGAAUUGACGG
rnacentral:rRNA from 1 species